rnacentral:misc_RNA from 1 species
CUAAAGUAUUAACUUACUUGCCCAAACCGUGAACUGUUUUACCCCUCUCGACGGCUUCUUUUUAGUUCUGAACUAAAGGAAGUCUCCGAGUAGGCCCAUGUUUACUUAAACUUUUGACUAAAAAUUCAUACUACUAGUGUUAUUGUAAAAAUACA